UCAUGGUGUGUCUCAAUCACCAAACAUAUGGCUAAUCAGAAUAAACAGAAAUGUUCCUUGCGGAAGUGAAACCUUCACGCAGGCGUGCCUGUUUGUUACUUCGUCGGCUUACGAACGGUCAUCAUGCAUUUUGUCUCACUUGAUCGGUCAAAGCGUGUCGACCCACAUCCUGAGGUCAACCGAAGUAUGUGGUUUAACACUACAUGUGAUUGUGACCUUGGUAGCCACAACCCGGGUCGGGACUCAGCUAAUCUUUCAGGAUUGACCUGCUGAUAUUGAAAUUUGCAAAGACAAUGGCUCACCUGUAGGUCUGGUCACAUUUCUGAACCUGCUCACAGUAGAUAUGCACAAUCCAUUGUCUAAGCUUUUGUGUUUCAAUGUAUUCAUUGCAGAACAUUAACCCUCUGUGUUUGCCAGUGCUGUGUUUAGUCUGUGUGAGUUUAGAAUGCAUUUUUCACAUGUUAAGCAAGCAAGUAGUUUCAAAUGACAUUUGAACAGAGUUAUGCCUUAUCUUUUUAUGAUAUUUGCAACCGUUGCUCAAAUAACUGAGUUUCAUUGAUUUUUAAAAAAAUAAAAUAUAACCUGGGAAAUGGUUCUGAAGGGUUUGUGCUUUCCAACAUGAACUAAUAAAUCAGAUUAACAAAUACACCUAUUAAAUGUCCUAUUCAGAGAUUCAAUGUAAAAAUAACAAUUGGGAAUUGCUUAUACAGUGGUGGCCAUAAGCACUGGCACCCUCAACUCUAUUGAGAAGUUUUAAAAAAAUUUGAGAAGAGUGACAAAAGAUGUCUCCCAGAAUUGUGCAAGAGCUAUAGGCUAUGACAAGCUGUGAUGAAUCCAUAUACAGUAAUCUGUCACAUAUAGGACUGCGGUGGGACCAGAGUAAGGGUAGAUAUGUAAAAAGUCGGAUGAAUGAAUCCUGUUUUAAAUACCAUUAUACACAGCUGUAACAAUUACUAUAUUCACACAAUUAUUGUUUUGAGAUUGAGCUUUUAUUAGGGAGCUCCCCUAAAGCUCUUGUUUAGAAAGAAACAGGAUAUUAAUGCUUGUGACAGGGUAGCCGUCUGCCGUGUGGGUGCGUGCAUUCGCUGCUGAGUGACAGGCAGGAGAUCGAGACGGGUGUGGAAGUUGAUACGCCCUGAACAGCUCACGUGACACUACCAGCAAUGGCAGUGCACUGAUCACAUAAAACAUAGUGUAAGAAAAUUUUGGUAGGAUCUAAAAUAUUUGAACUAAUCUUCUCUGUUCAAUAAUAAACUAACGUUGCUGAGAGGUUGAUCAUGGCGGAUAAGUGGCUAGGGUGUAUAUGUGACGGGCGGAUACGCGACGGAUUACUGUAGGUCGUAUCAAAUAAAGAUACACCGAAUAGGCCAGUAUUAUUUAUCAAGAUUUAUCCUGACUAAUAAAUUAUUUAAUUAACUAGUAAAAGCACAAUAAGACUUCUAAAUAUAAAUCGGAAUCACUGCAUAUCAUGGGAGCUAAUUGUUUUUUUGGAGCAUAGGGUGAAACUGAACCAACAAAGAAGAGAAUGCAAGUGACUGUAAAUAUCCUGAGAAUUGGGUCCCUGAGUGGUGUGCAGGGAGAGUCGUACAAUCAAGGGAGCCCAGGUUCAUUUGUCGAUCUUCGCUGAGGAUUUCACAUGGAGCGUUAGAUUGACUCUGGCGCGUUAGGGAGUCAGCAUCUUCAAGGACUGAGUCACCUCACCGCUCUACAGCACACCCUACUGGCCAGACACCCGGUGAGCUCAAGAAGACACCUGUUGGGUUGUACUUUGUUCUUCAGAGGCUGGCAGCUCCUUGGCAUCUGCUCUUUGAGCUCCUGGGUGUGAAGAGAUAAGUGGCUUGGCUGUGGAUUGGAGGACCUCUGACCCUGCAUUCUCCUGAGCUGUGUUUGUAGAAUUGCAGUGCUAAGAUAAUUGGGCAAUAGAUGCUAUUUAUAGUACAGGUUAGUGCGUUAUAGAGGCGUACAUGUUUAUACUGCACUCUUUAUUUGUUUCCCCCAGGCAUAAAUGAUAAGUUCAUUCACAGCUUGUGAUAUGCGGAGUCAAACUAAAUAUUGAACUUUAUAAAAUGUACUAUGUGAAGUAUGCUUUUGCAUUAUAGAGAUAUACAAUCAAUAGACAAAGUAUGCUUAUACUAUUUAGUACCAUUAUAAAAGGAACAGCUGUCUGAAAGUCUUUUAACUCAGACUAAUGACUUCCCAUGAUUUUAAAAAAAAAUUACGCUGUCCCACUAUCAUGUUUGAUUUUACUCUAAUGUAUGAUUCCUGUGUUAAUUUUUAUUUAAAAAUAUUGUUGCCCUGUUGUGAUCCUUGUUGGGCAUUUGAACAUAGUAGACUCUAUUAAUCAGAAGUAUCUGCUGAUCUUGUCUGUCAUUUAAGGAUUAAAGGAUUCGCUACCCAUGUUCUUGGGUGUGAAGCUGGGAUUUAAAAACAUUAUUGAAAAUAACCAUGUACUGUAUAAUGUUCUAAGCCAUAAAAUCUGAGAAUGUUUACAAUGUAAUUAACAUGGCUAAUAUCCAAUGUUUAACCCUGGAUCUCUCAGACAGACAAUGACUAAUUGGACAUACUGUAGGAAGCACGGCUAACAAUAUUACAGGUAACUAUGUUAUCAUAAUAGCUGGGAGUAAAUCCCCAUCUUUUUCAAUCCAUAAUUAUAAAAUAAUUAUUGACUCACAAA